rnacentral:lncRNA from 1 species
AUUUACCCAUGAAAGCUCGCAUAGUAUAUGAUUUUUUUAUUAGUGGUCAAUAAAGGUAUUGUAGCCUAUUCUUGCAAACUAAUGUUCUGUUUCUCCAAUUUUGUAGAUUCCCACCCUAAUUCAGCAGGUGAAUUAAUGGAAUCUUGAAGAUGGAGAUUUUACUGGACUCCUUUAUGAUUGAUAAUGCACCAAAUGCCCUUCAGACCCAUUGAGGACGGGAGACUGAAUGGAAAAGAGUCUUCUGUUGAUUUGCCAAGUCUGACAGAAACAGUUUGCAGUGCACUUUGUUCUCCUGAAAUGAAAGGAAUGGGGUGAUAAAAUGUUGGACUAUCACUGCCAGGGCCUGCAGUACAGUAGACCUUUUGUUCCCAGAUGUAGAGAAACUUGUGGGGAAGGGUAUGAGCUCCCCUAUGCAUCCUGUACCAAAAGAGAACAUCUGAUACUCAACAUCUGAUCCUUAGAUGGUGUACACUUGCUGUAUACACUAGCAAAGCACCAAGAAUGUCUGAAGCCGGAGUGAAGAAGAAUUAGUGAACUCAAUUUUACACAUACCCAUUUGAAACACACCUUUCAGGUACUUUUUAAUAUGAGUUUAAAGAGAUGCUGUCAGAGGAAGAAACUGGGAACAAAAACUGCAUACCAAUAUCCAUCCACACACACACUCACAUUGUGUUCCUCUUUAAACAGUGGAGAGUCAUUCAUCUCUUAGUUUAAAGUAUUCCCAAAGAAUGAUUAGCAAUGGCAUGGGAGAAUUCCAGAUUCAGCUUCUGGCAUAUGAGCUAUAUAUCUGGGCAUGCACAUUGAGUCAUGAGGAGUCGUACCGGACAAAAAUAAAA